UGGGGAAUUUUGGACAAUGGGGGAAACCCUGAUCCAGCCAUCCCGCGUGUGCGAUGAAGGCCUUCGGGUUGUAAAGCACUUUUGGCAGGAAAGAAACGUCAUGGGUUAAUACCCCGUGAAACUGACGGUACCUGCAGAAUAAGCACCGGCUAACUACGUGCCAGCAGCCGCGGUAAUACGUAGGGUGCAAGCGUUAAUCGGAAUUACUGGGCGUAAAGCGUGCGCAGGCGGUUCGGAAAGAAAGAUGUAAAAUCCCAGAGCUCAACUUUGGAACUGCAUUUUUAACUACCGGGCUAGAGUGUGUCAGAGGGAGGUGGAAUUCCGCGUGUAGCAGUGAAAUGCGUAGAUAUGCGGAGGAACACCGAUGGCGAAGGCAGCCUCCUGGGAUAACACUGACGCUCAUGCACGAAAGCGUGGGUAGCAAACAGG
rnacentral:rRNA from 1 species